UGAUGGCGGCUGUGCGCAGGGCACCUUCGGGUGCGCCGGCUUUGUAAGUCCACCGGUCUACUAACCUGCGUACAGCUGCCACCC
rnacentral:antisense_RNA from 1 species